rnacentral:rRNA from 1 species
UGGGGAAUUUUCCGCAAUGGGCGCAAGCCUGACGGAGCAAUACCGCGUGAGGGAGGAAGGCUUUUGGGUUGUAAAACCCUUUCAGCGGGGAAGAUGAUGACGGUACCCGCAGAAGAAGCCCCGGCUAACUCCGUGCCAGCAGCCGCGGUAAUACGGAGGGGGCUAGCGUUGUUCGGAAUUACUGGGCGUAAAGGGCGUGUAGGCGGUUUGUCUAGUCAGGCGUGGAAGCCCCGGGCUCAACCUGGGAACUGCGUUUGAUACUGGCAGGCUAGAGGUUGGAAGAGGAGAGUGGAAUUCCCAGUGUAGAGGUGAAAUUCGUAGAUAUUGGGAAGAACACCAGUGGCGAAGGCGGCUCUCUGGUCCAUACCUGACGCUGAGGCGCGAAAGCGUGGGGAGCAAACAGGAUUAGAUACCCCCGUAGUCC